UUGAGAGUUUUUCAUAGCUUGAUCACUAGAUGGAGACAAUAAAAUAUUGGUCCGCAUAUGCUCUUUCUUAAGAACCAAUGAGUUUUUAUCCAUUGUUCGCAUUUCUUAAUUAGAAGACAUGGUAAAAUUCGAUCUUGUGCUUUUAGGAGUUUGCAUACGUUGAUUAGCAUAAACUGCAUUCUUAUGGAAAGAUCCCACCUCAUUUUCAGAAAUCCCUAAAGAGGGGCACAAAGAUCUAGGCGUUUGCUCCCGUUCCUUCCUUAUAGCACCUGGACCCAAGAAAUCAUAUUAGUAAAAAAUAUGGCAUUUAAUUAUAUAUGCAAUUAAUUAACUGAUAGCUCAAUGAUAUCAACUACAGUAUAAAUUAGCAACAUUCAAAAAUCUGCAACUCCAACAAGAUAAUAGGAAUCAAACAAGCCAUGAUCCAACAUACCCAAAAUUUAUGUGAAUCAAAAGGUUGCUUAAGACGAAUAAAGGGGAAAUUUCUUUGCAGAAAUUCUAAGAAAGCAAUAACUUACUGUCAAAAUUUCACUUAAAUAGUGUUGGUCAAGGUUAAAGGUUGAAGAAAC
rnacentral:lncRNA from 1 species